rnacentral:pre_miRNA from 1 species
AUUUCUAUUUGGUAGCCAAGGAUGACUUGCCUACUUCUUUGCGAAGGAAAAUGGUCACGGUGUCAUGUUUGAAAGUGAAUAUACAUUUUUAAGAGUAUAUCAAUUAGUGACCAUUUUGCGUAUAAAAAGAUAUUAGGCAGUCUCCUUGGCUAUCCUUAUAUGUUCU